UACGAGGGGGCAAGUGUUGUUCGGAAUCACUGGGCGUAAAGGGAGCGUAGGCGGAUAUUUUAAGUUGGAUGUUUAAAACCGGGGCCUAACCUCGGAGCGGCAUCCAAAACUGGGCAUCUUGAAUAGGUCAGAGGCUGGUGGAAUUGGAGGUGUAGCGGUGGAAUGCGUAGAGAUCUCCAAGAACACCUAUGCGAAGGCAGCCAGCUGGGACCAUAUUGACGCUGGAGGCUCGAAAGCAUGGGGAGCAACAGG
rnacentral:rRNA from 1 species